AAGGCAUCUAGAUUCUAUUAUUAUCGUCAUUUAAUAUAUAAGUACAUUGAGGCAAGGAAGGCUAGGUAACUUGCACAACUUAAAGAGCUAGAGUGUAGAAGAGCUCAGUUUCAAAUCCAAAUUUUUCUGGCAUCAAAGCACCAAAAAUUAAUUCAGAUUCAAUCAAUUUUGGCCACCAGUUUACAGGGGGUGGGUGUGAGGCACAUUCUAAACUCCAUUCUUGAUCAAAAGAGACAUGGUUUUUGGCCACACAGAACCUACCAUCUAGAAUCCCAAUACCCAGUAUGUGCUAAUAAUAACUACAUUCAUUGACUACUUGUGUGCUUGGUACUUUACACAGAAUCAGCUGUAAUCUUUACAACAACUGCAACCGUGUGAAGUAAGAAGGCCUUAGCCCCGGCUGGGCACGGUGGCUCAUGCCUGUAAUCCUAGCUCUUUGGGAGGCCAAGGUAGGUGGAUCACCUGAGGUCAGGAGUUUGAGACCAGCCUGGCCAACAUAGUGAAACCCCGUCUCUACUAAAAAUACAAAAAUUAGCCAGUGCGGUGGCACGUGCCUGUAAUCCCAGCUAUUCGGGAGGCUGAGGCAGGAGAAUUGCUUGAGC
rnacentral:lncRNA from 1 species